AUUGAACGCUGGCGGCAGGCCUAACACAUGCAAGUCGAGCGGAUGAAGGGAGCUUGCUCCUGGAUUCAGCGGCGGACGGGUGAGUAAUGCCUAGGAAUCUGCCUGGUAGUGGGGGAUAACGUCCGUAAACGGGCGCUAAUACCGCAUCCGUCCUGAGGGAGAAAGUGGGGGAUCUUCGGACCUCACGCUAUCAGAUGAGCCUAGGUCGGAUUAGCUAGUUGGUGGGGUAAAGGCCUACCAAGGCGACGAUCCGUAACUGGUCUGAGAGGAUGAUCAGUCACACUGGAACUGAGACACGGUCCAGACUCCUACGGGAGGCAGCAGUGGGGAAUAUUGGACAAUGGGCGAAAGCCUGAUCCAGCCAUGCCGCGUGUGUGAAGAAGGUCUUCGGAUUGUAAAGCACUUUAAGUUGGGAGGAAGGGCAGUAAGUUAAUACCUUGCUGUUUUGACGUUACCAACAGAAUAAGCACCGGCUAACUUCGUG
rnacentral:rRNA from 1 species